GACGAACGCUGGCGGCGUGCUUAACACAUGCAAGUCGAACGGAAAGGCCCUGCUUGCAGGGUACUCGAGUGGCGAACGGGUGAGUAACACGUGGGUGAUCUGCCCUGCACUUCGGGAUAAGCCUGGGAAACUGGGUCUAAUACCGGAUAGGAGCCAUUUUUAGUGUGAUGGUUGGAAAGUUUUUUCGGUGUAGGAUGAGCUCGCGGCCUAUCAGCUUGUUGGUGGGGUAAUGGCCUACCAAGGCGGCGACGGGUAGCCGGCCUGAGAGGGUGGACGGCCACAUUGGGACUGAGAGACGGCCCAGACUCCUACGGGAGGCAGAAGUGGGGAAGAUUGAACAAUGGGCGCAAGCCGGAUGCAGCGACGCCGCGUGGGGGAUGACGGCCUUCGGGUUGUAAACUACUUUCGCUAGGGAAGAAGCUUUUUGUGACGGUACCUAGAGAAGAAGCACCGGCUAACUACGUG
rnacentral:rRNA from 1 species